CCUACGGGAGGCAGCAGUAGGGAAUAUUGCUCAAUGGGGGAAACCCUGAAGCAGCAACGCCGCGUGGAGUAUGAAUGUUUUCUUAUUGUAAACUCCUUUUUUUCGAGAAGCUAAUAACUUUAUCUAACGAAUAAUCACCGGCUAACUCCGUGCCAGCAGCCGCGGUAAUACGGAGGGUGCAAGCGUUACUCGGAAUCACUGGGCGUAAAGCGCGCGUAGGCGGGAUGGCAAGGCAGAGGUGAAAACCUAUGGCUUAACCAUAGAACUGCAUUUGAAACUGUUAUUCUAGAGUAUGGGAGAGGUAAGUGGAAGUAUUGGUGUAGGGGUAAAAUCCGUAGAGAUCAAGAGGAAUACUCAUUGCGAAGGCGACAUGCUAGAACAUAACUGACGCUGAUGCGCGAAAGCGUGGGGAGCAAACAGGAUUAGAUACCCUUGUAGUC
rnacentral:rRNA from 1 species